AACGCACAUUGCACUCUUUGGUAUUCCGAAGAGUAUACAUGUUUGAGUAUCAAUACCCUCUCUUUCAUCUCGUCUAACAAGGUAAAAGGAUCUGAGUUUCCGUAUGACAUGUUGAUUCCUCUGUCAGAGCGGUUACUUUAAAUGUAUGAUGCGGCCGGUUACCAUUUUGUGAACCUUGCAACAUAAUAAUUGUGGAUACCGAAAGGUUGACUUUUUAUUGUUUGUCUUGUUCUAUAUAGCAAAGUGGCUCGGUUUUUGCAACCAUUAGUAUAAUGAAGCGGCUGUAAAGUCGAUUCAUAUAAUAUUAAUUUAACUUUGAUCUCAAAUCAUGUAGGACUACCCGCAGAACUUAA
rnacentral:misc_RNA from 1 species